GAUGAACGCUGGCGGCGUGCCUAAUACAUGCAAGUCGAGCGAACGGACGAGAAGCUUGCUUCUCUGAUGUUAGCGGCGGACGGGUGAGUAACACGUGGAUAACCUACCUAUAAGACUGGGAUAACUUCGGGAAACCGGAGCUAAUACCGGAUGAUAUAUUGAACCGCAUGGUUCAAUAGUGAAAGACGGUCUUGCUGUCACUUAUAGAUGGAUCCGCGCUGCAUUAGCUAGUUGGUAAGGUAACGGCUUACCAAGGCAACGAUGCGUAGCCGACCUGAGAGGGUGAUCGGCCACACUGGAACUGAGACACGGUCCAGACUCCUACGGGAGGCAGCAGUAGGGAAUCUUCCGCAAUGGGCGAAAGCCUGACGGAGCAACGCCGCGUGAGUGAUGAAGGUCUUCGGAUCGUAAAACUCUGUUAUUAGGGAAGAACAUAUGUGUAAGUAACUGUGCACAUCUUGACGGUACCUAAUCAGAAAGCCACGGCUAACUACGUG
rnacentral:rRNA from 1 species